CAGUGGUACCUAUUGGAAAUUACACUCAGAAUAAAGAUCUUUUCUCUUUUCCUUUGAGAUAAAGUUCAAGGUAACGUUUUUAAGUGAAUAAUUAUUUACCAUUUGGUUAAGUGCUGGCAUGCAUGUCAGCAAUCAACUAUUAGUACAAAUGCCUUUUCUGCUUAGAAUGGCUCAUUAGUUUCUUUGUAGGCUGCACUGGCUUUAAGAUUCAAACUCAAAAUCUCCUCCGAUUUUGCUGUUCCAUUUCUGGCAGCUGGCCAGCGGCAGAUAUGCAUAAUAUUUCACUGUUAGACCUUGCAAACAUCAUAUCCUGCUGUGCUAAAGAAAACAUUGUGUUUCUUACCACAUGAAAAUAAUCCAUCACUUUUCAAUCAGCACACACACAAAAAGCUCUACCUGUUUUUCCCAUCAGACUCAAGAAAAAUUAAUGGCCCCAAUGUGAAAGGUGGACCCUGCAUACAUGAUCCAUUAAAGUAGAAACUAAUCAAAAUAUAUCUAGCAUCUGAUUUGCUAAGCAAGAUGGAACAAAAGAGGUGCGAUGAAAAAAAUAGAUCCCUCGAAGACCCAUACAACCUUGUUGUAGCAGUGUUAACCUUAUUUAUUUUAAAUGUGGGAAGACAUAAAUAAAAGAUCAUGAAGUGGGAUCUGCUGAAUUCAAUCAAUUCAAACAGAUGCUCUGUAUUUAUCUGGAAGAGAUGGCUAAAGACACCUACAGUGGACUGGAGGAAAGUUUUACAUAAAAUUUUCUUUUAAAAAGUAAAGAAAAAUACAUUGUAAGUACCCCUCCAAGUGGGUCACUAAACAACAUAGUAACGUUUUCUUUGGGAGUAAAAAUACCAAUGUUCAUGCUUUUAAAAGUAAUUGCAUGCCUUUAGCAAUGGUGAUGCUAAAGCUAGUUUUGAGUGGGGCAUGAAGACUUCUUUCUAGGGCAAUAGAACUUUGACGACAAUAUUCUAAUCAAAAAGAUGGCAGCCAUCUCAAAGGAGGGCCCAUUUAAAAACUCCAUUUUAUAACUUUUUAACAGUUCUAUUGGAGUUGUUUGGGGUGGCAAGACAAACACUUUGGGGUGGCAAAUUUUGCUACCCUAUAAUCCUGCCUUUGAAAUUCCUCCAAGAAACUUCACAGUCCAGAGCUGAACUGGUAAAUCACUUCAUGUCUCAUUGAGCCAGACUCUUAGUCCUGACAAUAGGUCAGUUCAGAUAAACUCAUUUCAAGAGGCAGCGAUGCAGGUGGGCUCACAAAGUUAGGCCUAUAAGGGGCAAGCAAUCAGGUAUUUGAUAAGACAUAUUUCUACGGACACAAAAGAAAAACAAAGGUUAAUGGUUGGAGUAAAUUAGAAACCCAGUGUCUGAGUCCUGCGAACGGCCAGUUAAGAAUGUUUCUGGGCGUCAGGUGGACUGAGGGCAGGUAGUGACAAUCUGAUGGAUCUUCCUGGUUUAUAGUUUGAUUGUCUCCGAUGAUGUCACCAGGUGGCCAAGUAAACUUUCUAAAUGACUUACACAGCAGCAGACAUGAGGCUUGUCUAAACACUGGCUGUCGUGGUAAUGUCUCUUAAGUUUACAGUAAGUUGUUUAGUUUUUGUUUGCAGGGCUUCAGGAAAAGGACAGCUUUAGUUCUCAAUGAUCCCAAGACAAAAGUGGGAGAAGAACUGGAAAUGUUAGUUUGGAGAGCUGAAGCCAAAUAUUUGAAGAAACCCAGAGUAAUUCAGCCUCCAGUCGUUUAUAGGUGCAAAAACAAAACCUCAAAGACAAUUAACAGAACUAGAACUUAAUAUCCGCAACUGUCUAUAAUAGGUUCCACUGAGACAUUUUUUUCUCUCUAAAAUCAUCUCAUUUUUAUUAAAAAUGGCUAAAUUUUGCUCAUUUGCUUGCAAAAUAGUCUAGUUUCGGUACAACUGGCUUGAUUAUUUACAUUAUGCCCUGCAAGAGUACAGUCUGACCUUAUAGACACUUCUAGGUCUGCUUUGCUGGAAUUUUUCAUAAGGAACCUCCAGACUGAAUGUUUAAAUGCCUCUUGAAGCCAAGAAGCCAAGCCAAGAACUUACUAUGAGACUUGCUUGUAAUACCUAUAGAUUUGGGUGGACACCUGUCUGUCUGAGGUCACCAAAUAUCCUGAGGUUCCUGCACCUGCCAGUAAUUCAUCUUCUUCACUCACCUGAUAAGGCUGCUAGGAAACCUGUAAGCAAGGUCUGCGGUGGAGGUGAAUUGCUCUGUAAAACAAAGGAGACAGAAGCAGCCAGUCUUGUUUGGAAGAAAAGGAGAAAAAAAAUCUCAGUUGCAGUAAGGGAGACAGCGCUUUAGAGGAAGACAAGUGUCACGUGACAGGAAGUGUGUGACACAAAGAACCUUAUCUGACUCUCUCCGACAGCAUCAGCUAAGUCUCCACUGUUUACUCUGAUUUCUUUUUCUUACUGGGUUUUAUUUAGGGGUAGGGAGCAGGAGGGGAGGAGAACCAGAAGGGGAUGCCAAAAGGUGAGUCAUGGUGGAUGUGGAGGUUGAAAUGGCAAGAGAAUGAGAGGUCAGCUGACUUAAGCUUACAUCAGUAUCUCAUGAGAAGAUUAGGGCUUCACUAGACUUCUCUUACCAAUUUGCACAUUUAAUAUUUUCAUCCUAUCCUUUUAAGACAGGGUUUUCAAGUCUGGCUUGCUCCUUCUUUCUUUCUUUCUCAUUUCUCUUUCUCCUUCUUUCUUUCAUCACUGAGAUAAUUUUAAACUACUGUUCUGAUAGUUUUUAUUGUGUAAUAAGCACUCAGUACCUGUAUUGAGUUCCUAACAAAGAGAGAAUAACAUUAAGCUAAUCAAUCAGUAUAAAGAAAUGCAUCUAAAUUAUUACAAUCUACUUAGCUCCUAAUUAUUAAAGAGCAUUCAUGACUAAUAUAAAUUUAGUACUAAUAUAUUAUAAAUACAUGUGCAUCUGAUUUGACAGUUAUAUGAAUCUACACUAUGUUUCAGUCUACAUAUCAGUCUGCAUUAUGUUUAAGUAGGCUUUUUCCCCCCAAGUUGAUACAUUUCUCAAAAACCAUCUUUUUUUCCAAAACCAUUUUAUUAUAAACCGAUUUUUUAGAGCUUGGGAUAUUUUGAAAGAAAAUAAUGUAUUAAAAUUACAGGUAUAUCUUAAAUGAGUAUUCUUGAAUUGCUCCCCAAUACCUUAGCAUUGUAAUGGCUACAGAAAAAUCGGAAGAAAGAUCAGAUGAAGUUGAGAAGGUGAAAGUAAACUAUGUGAAGAAGGGAUCCAUUGGUAAUAAAGGAUUCAUUAAUGGAUUGACUCACUGAAUCAGUCUAGGACUGACUGACUCUGCUACGCUAAGGCACUGGGCAGAGGAUGAUAGGUAAGGUAUUAUACUUGGAGUCUCCAGAAAAAUCUCUCUUCUUGGGCUCUUUGAAAAUUGGAAAAACAAUUAGAAAAAGAAUCUAAGUCCUUAAUUUAUUAUGAAUAAUUAUUCAAAAGAACCUAGACAGUGAGAGUUUACCACAAGUAUAUUUAUGCAGCUGUAUUUCUGUUACUUUGGUUGUUUAUUAAAAACAAGUCUCAGUAUAUUUAACGUGUUUAUAUAUGAAUAGAAGCAUUGGUUUCUUUGAGCCCAUCUCUUUACAUAAGAAUAGAAGGCUUUUAAUGGGAAAUAUAUAUAUUAUAUAUAUCUCUCUAUAUAUUCAUCAGAGAUUAAUACAUUAUAUUGUGACUCAGAAAAAAAACCAUUUCAAUAAGUAGUGCUAUUAGCAUAGACACUAUGCUCAAAAAAUUUCAGCUAAGUUCUUUUUAAUUAAUUAUAUUUAUUAUAGCUCUACUGAUGACAUUCAACAAGCUGUAUUUGCUAUUGCAAAUAAACUUCUAUAAAUAUUUUUAUAUGUCUUUAUAUGGACAUGCUUUUGUUUCCCAGGUUAAUGCCUAGGAGUAGAAUGCUGGAUGUAUGGGAGUUGUAUGUUUAAUUUCUUAAGAGCAUACAGACUGUUUUCCAAAAAGGUACCAUUUUACAUUGUUAAAAUGCAACAAACAUCACACCGGCAGGGUAUGAGAGUUUCAGUUUCUUCGCAUCCUCAACAGCACUUCAUAAGGUCAGCAUUUUUCAUGUGAGUCAUUCUAAUAAGUGUGUAGCCAUAUUUCAGUGGAACUGCAGGUAAGUGAUCUUAAAGACUUCCUAGCUAGGGAUAUAGGAAGGUAACAGCACUCAUUUAGUUUUCUUUUUCUUUCUGCCCUGUCCUAGAUAUUUCAAGUAGAGCAUCUAUUUAAAAAUCUUUCUCUCUGCCCUACCACGGUCAAAAAAGUUCACUCCCCUUUCCCUCUUUGACUCUUGGAGACAACUGUGUGCCCUUAAAGGAACUACAACAAGAAUUAGAAGUGCCCUGGAGGCAAGGUAAAAUGUGGCCCAUGUAAUCCAUCAUAUCUGCUUCACUGAACUGUAAUGACCCUGUGUACAGAAAGCAUCUUCAGUGAGUCAGACCUGUUUCCAUGAAGUCCUUAACAUUUGGGGGGAUAGAAAGCCAUUUCAUACCCAUUCUUCUCUUCUUGGACAUACAGUGACUUGCAAUGGUGUACAGUUAUAGUAGCAUAUCAAAAUAUAAGGAUAAGUAGAUCAGAAAGUCACCUAACUUGAAUUAUUAAUAAUUCAAACUAAGGAACAGGAUCAGUUGCAUAAUAUCCAGCAUCACAAUAGCCAUUUGCAAAUAGCGAAUAGUGGCAACUGCCCUGGGUUUCAUCAAGAUUUAUUCCCUGCAAGUCAAGUCAAGUAAGUGACUUGGAGACAGAUAUAUGACUUUGAGGAAUGAUUUCCAAGGGACACAAAGGAAAACAGCUUAUUUGUGUCUGUAGUAAGGAAAGUAGCUACAAUGUUGGAAAGACUCACCAAAUAAUAAUGGUGGCCAAUGAAAUGAUUACAUAUGCCAAGCACACGCAGCUUUCUAGGGGAAGUCACUUCAUAAUCCAGUUUUCUGGUUUCCAUUUUCAUUGAAGUUCAGAUACAAACCUAGGAUUUUAUUCAGCUACUGAGGAGCUGAGAUGAAGCCUUUAAGAUACAAGAGUUUCUUUGUGCCUGUUUCCCGUAAGUCAUUCCAAACUACUCUCAUACAACUUAAAGGAGAAAUUGGGAAAACCUCUGGUCAACCUCCCCCUUCAGAAAAGUAUUCCUGAAUUAGAUGCGAUGUAGUGGACACGAUGACCUCUCAGAGUCUAAUCUACAUCGAAGAGUCUAAUCCACAUCGAAGUGUCUAAUCUUGACCAAGAUGAUGCUUGUGAAGGGAGUGAUGAUGAGGAUGCCAAAGUUAAAGAUGGUGAUGCUAACAGUAACCCUACUGAUGAUAAUGGUAGCUAGCACUUUCAGGGAGCCUGCUCUGGGCCAGCGCUCAGCUAAGUGCUUUGCAUGCAUUGUCCCAUUUGAUCUUUGCAAAGCCCCCUCAGGUUGGUACUAUUAUUAUCACCCCUUUACAAGGAAGUUUAGUGAAAUAAAUGACAUAGACUGAAUACCACUCUGUGAGUGCUCCCCAACUAGUCUUGUCUCUCUAUUACUACAAAAAAAAAGGGACUUAGCUCUAAUAAUUAUUAUUAGCAGAAAAAUUGGAGGCCAGACAGUGUACAGUUGGGUUGGAAGAAGAACCUGAGAGCCCUCCACCUGGAUAGCAAUCAGUUAAUGGAUGGAGGUAUCAGAAAAAAGGGAGAAAGCUCCUGGAGCAGCAGAUCAUUAUGCGGCAGCUCAGCAUGUUUAUUAAUCAUUGUGCACAAUUAAAAUGCCAUUUCAUCCCUCUAAUUAAAACAAGUAGCUCCCCGAGGCUAGCACCUGAACUAAUGAAGCCUGGUUGCCUCAGGAUCUUACUCAGGGAAGGGAAUUAAACAACGGAGGAAGCAGUAUGUUUACCAAGUUACCCAGACAACGUCAGACUGUAUAUGACAUCAUGAGGGAGCGGACCAGUUGAGCCUGUGAUUUUAAACAGCCAGGGAUGCUUCUGUUCCUGAGCAAAGGCUGGGUUUAAAUAUUGAAAUUAUUCUAGUUUUUGAAUUGGUCAGGUUCCAUCUUUUGUCAUCUUGUCUACUUAAUAAUUACUUCUGAAUCAUCUUCCUUCUUGGUGUGUGAAUGGGCAUCUUGACAUCCAGAGGAAGGAGAUCCAGGGACUGUAUUCUGGCAUCUAAGUAUUUGGUGGGGGGUGGGGGCUGCAGGGGUUUCUGAAAUUGGCUGAUUACACAAAUAAAAGGGAAUGUAGACAGAUUGUGGAGUCACAAGCUAAAACAGUGGAAUGAUGAAUGGACCAGAUGAAGGAAAACCAAAGGUUUAGUCCAAGUAUUGGUCACUUCAACUAAAUGACCCUGAGCGAGGCUUUUAGUUUCUCUGUUGCACAAUGAGAGGACUGGACUAGGUCAUCAUCAGGUGUUUUUCCAGCUCUGAAUUUCUAUGGCUUUGGGAGAAUUUGCAAUCAACAAAGCCUCUCAAAGAGCUGUCAUCGUGUCCUAAGGUUCUUACAAAUUUGGCUGCAUCAAGCCUUGCUUAUUCUUUCUUUCUAAUUCCUGUUUAAUUUACCACAUAGCUUUUCUGUCUGGGCAUCGUACCUUGCGUGUAGCAAUUGUCCAGUUCAAUAUCUGUAGGAGAAACAAAUUAGGUUAAAUCCACAGAUCUCAGUAACUCGGUGAUUUCAGUGCUCUGUUCCUAAAUAAUUGGUACUACAAAGAGCCAUCUUCCAUCGGGUUCUGUAUCACUCUUCUGGGGAAUGGCAAUUCUGAGGAAUAUGAGAAUUGCUUUCAUCCCAUCCAAUCUACCAACUCAGUUUCCUACAAUUCUGUUCUUGAAAUGUCUGGUCCGUGUAGCCUCCAUUUGCACUAGGCAAAAAGCCGGGGCUCACUCUUCCUUUGCUUUACUCAUUACUCUCUUGGUCCUAAUGAUUCCCUGGUGUCCCAGAAAAAAUAUCUAUGCCUAAAAGUUUGAAGAGCAUGAAAGUAUUUGUUCUUAAGCUAGUUUUUUUUUUUUUAUGGGUCACAGAGUUCUGUGAGACUCUGAUCGAUCUUACGGAACCUCUCAUCAGAAAAAUGCCAAAAAAAAAAUUUGCAAAGAACAACAGUAUGAGAGGUUCAUAGACUUCCUAAAAUGUAUCUAUGGAGCUCAUAUUAAGUUAAAAAUCCUGUUUUAAAGAAUCUCAUAGGAGUUUUCAAUAGUUCUUUAGGAGGCCUGUGUCUAGCUACCUCUCUUGCUUCGCUCCAGAAACCGAAGAUAGCCAUCAAACGUACCAGUCGGAACCAGAAAUGCCAAUGCUUGCCAAUGAUGAGUCUUUUUUUUUUUUUUUCUUGUACAGUGUGGCUGGCAGGCUCCAGAAGGAGAUACUGUGAUUUCAGUUAUGACAUCUCUUGUUUUUUUAUUUGCAACUAGGCAGCUGGCAUCCAUGUUUUUAUUUUAAACAAAUGAAAAAGACACCAAUGAUGUGGCAGUAGCCAUACUAAUAGAAAACAAGUCAUUUAUAGAAAAAUAUUAAGGCUUCUAUUUUUUCAUACUAUGUAUCCUGUUCUUAGGGCCAGAAGGAAAUUGGUAACUGGAAAUUGCAUGGAAAUUGCAAACUCUGGUGUUAGGAUCUAAGAAUCUAGGAGUUUAAUCUUACUGAUUUGGGGCAAUUAUUCAUAUGCUGAACCUAAAUUUUUCUUUCAAAACAAAUUCAGUGUCUCUUGGACGUCACAGUAGGAAAUAUAACUUGGUCAAUAAGAUAUCCAGAAACUAGCAGAAAUCAGCCAAUAACUCAGAUUAAGUGGCAUGAUAAUUAGGUUUCCUAAGCAUUUUUUGGUAUUAAAACAAGUUAAUCAACCAUAAAACACAAACUCAUCAGAAUCCAAGGUCUUAUUCAAUUAACUUCUGGCCUCAAACACUUAAGUGAGUUUUUUCUUUCUUUCUUUCUUUCGAAUCGUUAUGUCAUAUUUUGCCAAGACAGAAAGGAUUUCUGGGGUGGGAAAUUCCAAAGAUGGAAUAAGAGCCAAGUCUUUUAAACUAUAUCAUUUUACCCGUAAUUAUUAUUUUUAGUAAAAAAUGAAAACAAAAGUUUCUUCUUGCCCAGAAGGGAGAUAAAAUCUUGAACUUACAAGUUGAAGCAGAGGGACUGAAGUUGUACAGAUUUUUGUUUGAAGUGACCCUUAUAUUCUUAUAUCAUAUUUACUCUAAAACACUGGAUAAACUAGAAACUUGGGAGGCAAAAUAACUAUUAAUAUAAUACCACCAACACAUGAUUUUGUGCCUAGAAGCUUUGUUUUAAAUUGAUUUACAACUUCUUAACAUCUUUUCUUGAUAGUAAGGUCAGAGAUUCAUAGUCAAAUGAGGCAGGUGUAAACCUUUACUAGCCCCCAAAUCAUAGCUAUAGCUUUAGCUUUCCUGAAUGUGAGCCUUUGGAAAGGAAGUUUGAGCCUUUUAUGUUGCCAAAGUAUUGUGGUAGAGUUAAAAGGAAGAGAUCUUUUUAUUUUCUUGGUCCGACAAAACAGGUUAAAAUUCCAUAUGCCACAUAUUUAGCUACGUGACACUGGGUAAGUUAUUUAAUCUAUGAGAGUCACAGUUUCUAGCUGUAUUUGAGAGAAAAAUACUUCUUCCAUAAGGUUCAUGGUAGGCACACUCACAAAAAAAAUCAGUUUCGCCACUAUUCCUUGGAUCAUCAAGCCAUUUGGAGUGUCACUGUAACUUCAAAUGGUAGUAGAAAAGAUGGAGUAGGAAAUAAUCUAUUACUAGGAGAUCGGGAAAGAGAGUGGGUCAAAAUUUUGGUAGGUAACCUGAGGGUAAAGAUGUAAGUAAUUGGGUUUCAGAGGUGAGAAUGGACCACUGGUCAAGAUAAUUCAGUCUAUAUUCAGAGUUGGCAAAGGGAAAUCCAGGGCACUGAGUAUGGUCAGUGAAGUAUCAGAGCAUAAUCUGGCCAACCAGGGAAGGGAUAAAGAAGUCAAAUAUUUAUUUGCUCCUUUGCUCAAAACUAUAUACUGAGAACUUGCACUGUUCUGGUACUGGAGUAGCUCACUGUCUAGCCAGGGAAACAGACAACAUACACACCAUAAUUAUAAUGCACUAUGAUAAGUGCUAGUGCUAUUUACAAAGUCCUUUGGGAAUAAAGAAAGUAGAAAACUUAACAUUGGAGGAGUUGAGAAAUCUUCUUGGUCCACUAAAGGUUUGCAGGAUGAGAAAGGAACAUUUGAUCGAGAUGUUGAAGGAUGAGUGGAAGUUUGUCAAGGUGAAGACGCAAGAUAAGAACAUUCUACUUUGAGGGAAAUGGGUCUAUCCUGAAAUCAUGAACGUCUGAUGUAUAAAGAGAAUAAUACAAAAUUUAAUGGCGUCAAGGAGGCUGGGUAGGAAAAUGGACCCAGGCUGGGAAGUCUUCAAAUGCUGAUUCUGCUUUUAUUGUAUAAGCAAAUGGAGCGCUAUCAGAGAUUUGCUAAAGUGCUGAAUGACAUGACAAUUUUGUUUUUUAAGGGAAAUAAUUCUAAUAGCAGGCUGAGGAUGGACUAGAGAACAGUAGUCAAGUCACAGAAAUAUUAGGAAGUUCACUGAUUUAACAAAUACUUUACUAAGUUUUUGAGGGGUAGAGAAUGGUCAUAUUAAGCAUUUACAUCUAUAAAUACCUUGAAUUUUAUUGCAUUUACAGUUUAUAGAAUAUUCUUAUGUCCAGUAUUUAAUUUAUUCUCUAAAGAGCUCUGUGAAGCAGAUAUUAGUAAGAUUAUUCACAUUUCAUAGAUGAAGAAAGUGAAACUGGGAAAAUGAAUGAUUGUUUAUCCAUCUUCCAGUUACUAAGUGGAAUGAUUGGUUUAACUCAGGUAUUUGAUCACUAAGAUUAAUUUUUUCUUUUUCCUAACAUACAGAUAGACAUUCAGUAGUCAACUGCAUUUUCAGCUGAGCACGGAAAUUAUGCUAUUGCAAAAACAGCUGCAUUAAUUCACCUUUCUGAAUCAACACACUUGGUUAGUUCUCUCCCACCUUAACUCUGGACUUAGCCAUAUGUCUUCUUUUGGCUAACGGGACGAUGUAAUCAUCAAACUGGAGACCUCAAAAGUGUUUGCGCACUGGGGCUUUCCCUCUCUUGCUGCUCUUUGGAAGCCUGAACCUGCCAUGUGGAGAAUCCUUGGCUUGCCUUCUGCAUAAGAGACUUGUGCCCAAAUCAUCUCCGUUGCCCCAGCUGACUUCAAGACAACCACAAGACAUACGAAUAAGGCCACUGUAGGUUUUCCAGCACCAGAUGAGCCAACCCAGCCCAGAAGAAUCACCUAGGUGACUCAUAGACUUUGUUUACUGCUUUAAGGCACUAACUUUUGGAGUUACUAUGCAGCAAUUAUACAAUGCUAAUCAAUGGUCUAGUACAGGUUAUUUCUACAAAGACUCUUUGACAUCUAUAGAUAUUCUGGCAAAGCAACAAAAUGAUAUAGUUAUUUCUAUCAAUUAGAGCAAUGAUUUUCUUACUUUAUCCUGUGAAGUUUACCUGGUCAACUUGUUUGGAAAAAACUCAGACUUGAGAUUACCCCAGACCUACUAAAUUAAUCUUUCUGUGGCAAAAAGCCUGGAAGGCUGCAUCUUUAACAAGCUACCCUGUGAUUCUUAUUUUCGUUAAAAUUUGAACUAAUCUAGCAUAUUA